GCAGGAGUGGAUGAAAUGAAAUGAUGGUAAAAGAUGCCUGGCUGUGAAGUGCGACGGGAAGAAGAAUGCGUCUGCGUAGCUGCGGGCACUGAGGCGGCAGGCACCUUUGGGGAAGCUCCUGGCCAAAGAGCAUCAGUGGGCUCUGGGUACAGGAACAUGCGUUUUGAAACAUUAGUCCCCAACGUGCAACCUAAGAAGCGAGGGGAAGGAUAAGGAGAUUGCUGUGUGCAAUACAGAAGAACCCAGAGAUGAUUUUUAACUCACAGCUUCGCUUGUCUCCCUCAUACUAAGAGGGACAGAGCGCUUGUAAAUUUGGAGCUGCCGGGUGUGUGGGGUGAGCUUGAGGAGGAAGGGCUUAGGCCUCAGGGAAAUGAAGACAUGGGGCCUUGGUUCCUUAGCGCUGGAUAUAUACAGAGCUUGCAGGGACCAGGCCCCAGGGCUCGUGACCCUCAGGAUCUCAUCCAGCAAUCUGGGCCAAAGCACCCCGGGGAAGGUGAGGUUUUUUAUGCAUACCCAGCUCCUCCCUGGCAUUACAAGGAAGAUCCCAUACAGCGAGGCAUCCACAGGGUCUAUGCCCCAGCCUGGGUUGCAGCUCCCGCUGCCCCGGUGAUCAGACCGGGCCCCUGGGAGAGGUAAGGGGACCCUUGGUUCUGAAACUGGGGCCCCACCGAGCCUAGACAGGGGCUUGGGCCCGCGGGUGGAGCAUCUUGAGCAGCAACUGGCUUGAAGCCCCACCGUUUAUCACCGGAAAGGAAGGAAGACCAGGAACUCACAGCGGCCGUGAACUGUUCCACUGCUCUUUUCCUGGGGCGGGGGAAUCUACCACCCGCUCCUGCUAGCGUGCCCUGGGGAACAGGGGUGGGGGCAGCGGCGCCUCAUUGUUCAGAGAGAGUUGGGGGGGCGUCUGGGUAGGAAAAAUGGGCUUCCCCACCCCCAUUCCGCCCAGCUCUUGGGCCUGAACCGGCCAAAACGUCAGCUCUCGCCCAGCGAGAACACGGUGAGAGGCUGGACUAGGCGCAGCCCAGAGAUGCCAAAAACCUGAAAGAUGCUGUCAUCGCCGCCCCUUCCCCCAUGCCGGUCCCUGGCAGGUCCGGCCCCUCCCAGGCUGACCCAGAUACAUCCCCGUUUGGGUCCGGAAAGGGAGGAGAGGGAAACAAGCACCGCGCCACCCACGACUCGGGAAGAGCAGGGCUCUGAGCCAGGGCCGCUUCGUAUCGCGGGCCGCGACCCAGGGGAAGUUGUGCUCAGUCUGCGCUGGUCUCCAAGGAGGGGGGUGGGGGGGUAGGCUCGUUUCUGCUCAAGCACAGGCGCAGGCUGGCGGAGGAGGGGCUGGAUCGCACGGAACGAACGGCAACUCUUCCGAACCUCUGUCCUGAGGCUCCCUCCGGAGCCCUCUUCCUCAUGAAGCAGAGGAAUAAGCUAAAAUUUACCUCCACUAUCCUUUGUCUCACAGUUUCUUGAAUUAAAUCCAGACACUUGGGAUGGGUAGAAGAGAUGACUGCCCCUGAAGAACCCUAACUUGCCAAAGUUUCACUUCUAGCAGAGAAUAAAAUAGGGGUGUGGAUGUGUAGGUUGGAAAAGGUAGGCAACUGUACACUUCUCUCAUGGAGAAUGAGAAUUUAAGCUACCUUAAAAAGUCCAACUCAAAGUUCCACCCAUCUCAGCACAUUAUGUACUCACAGCUCAGGGGUGUUAGAAGUGCAUGGAGUGUGAGCAUUAGUUUAGAAGCCCUUCUUCUCCACCCAGGGAAUUAUUGAGUGUCAAGGAGACCUGCCCUUCAGUUGAUUAUGAGGCCAGUCGAAUGACCUAAACCUGAAACAGACCUCCAGGAAAAGGAAUAGUCCAUUCUCAAAGCUAAUUAAAUUCACCCCAGAGAACUUCAUCCUGGGGAUGGAAGAGGAGCUGCCACAUAUCUUGCCCAGGAGGGAUCAGUGUUGGUGAAAAGCAAAGGGCUGAAAAAUUUCAAGAGAAGCUAAAUCCAAAUUGAAAAAAAGGUCCACCUAAACACCCCUUCCUGAUCUGUCUAGAGACAGUCUAGACUAGAUGACUUGUCUCUUCCAUAUCUGUGAGUCUAUUUUCCUCCUGUAUUCCACCUUUAUUCACUUACGACCCAUCGCUUAGCCUCAUUCAACUUCUCUUCCUACCAGAAUCUUUACUCCCUUCACAUCUGUGCCUAUUCUUUUAUGUACCCUUCACGUUGAAGAUGGGGUACUCACUAGGAGAUGUAGUUGAAACACACUCAAGAAAAGUAAAAGGGAAUGAGGCUACAGCAAACUUUCACUUCUUUUGCAAUAAAAACUACCAUCCUAAAGAAGAAUUAAUAAAUAAGUAAACUGCAAAUGACUUCAGUCUAGCUAUAGCACAUGAUGAGAUGACAAAAAGCAAGGUUCAGAGUGCCAUUAGAUCUAUGAAUUUCAUACCUGAUUUUUAAAUUUCAUCAAUGAGAAAUCUCAGAAUUGACAGCAAAAUUCAGUUAUAGUAUAUAAAACCUGAUUCCCUUUCUGGAGAUUAUUGAUAGUUUUCUUUUAACUUCAGUAUAGUAUUGUAGCCAAAUGAGUCAGCCUAUUUUCUUAGAUCCAUUGUUUGCCUAAUCUCCCAGGGCAGAGAAAGAGAACUAACUUACUACCAAACCACCUCCACCCUUUAAAAAAUGGAGUCACUUCUUGAAUCAUUUGUCUUUCAAUCUGAGCUGGCUUCUUCUUAAGGCAGUGACUACUAAGUUCCAUGCUUACCCACUAAGCUGGGUACAAAAGGACCUACCCUAAAAAAUUACACCAAAGACUUUAAGUCUAGAGUUAUGGGAUAUACCAACAUUCAGAGAAACUAUUGAGUUUUAUACAUGUGAGAAAUUCACGCAUAUCAUUGAAAAUUGAACUAACAUCAGAUCCAGAACCCAGAAAGGGCUGGUCACAAUUUGUGCCCUGAACCCAACUGAGUUGGAUUUUAUGCUAAAACAAAAAUAUUAACAUUCUCCAUAUAGUAUUUAAAGAAGACCCUGAGUCUCUUAAAAUUAUUUUCCCACCUUUCAAGAUAUGAUAAAAAUUACUUUGCAUAGAAAGAAUCAGAAAAAUUGCAUUUCUAAUAAGGAAAGAAAACAAAGACUGUUGCCUAAAUAACAUGUUGAAUUUAUCAAAGACUGUAAGGCAGCUAUUAUUCAAAAAGUGGCCAUUGUAAAAAAAAAAGUAAGGAUGAGUCUCUAAAAAAGACCAUAGGAAUCUCAUCAAAAAAUAGAAAAUGGAAAGAGGAGCCUCAAAGUUUUAGAACUGAAAUAUGUGGUUCAGUGAAAUAUCUAUCUCACUAGAUAGAGCCAAUGGAAAAGUUGAAAUGACAAACUAAAGUAUGAUUAAGCUUAAAGAUAGAGCAGUACAAACUGAUCUUAACAGAGUGGAAAAAAGCAUUAAAAAGCAGUGACCUUGGGGAUCUCUGGAACAACACUAUAAAGAUUAACAUUUUAUUAUUUGAAUCCUGGGAAGAGAGGGAAAAUGGUCCAUCCAGCAAAAAAAUAUUUGCAGAGAUAAUGGCUAAAACCUUUCUAAAUUUGGCCAUAUGUGUAAGCUAGGAUUCAAAGUCUUACAGAACCCCAAACAGGAUAAACACAAAGAAAUCAAUGUAAGAUACCUUAUAAUAAAAUUGCUAGAAACUAAAGACAAUGUGUAUUACUUGUGUAUUACUUACAAUGGAGAACAAAGGGGAACUGGUGAUUUUAAUGACUUCAGAUUUCUCAUCAUAAAUUAUGAAGGCAGAGGGAAGUGGAAGAAAAUUAACCAUUAACUCAGAGUUCUAUAUCCUGUGAAAAUAUGCUUCAUGAUGAAAGUGAAAUAAAGGCAUUCUCAGAUGAAGGAAAACAAAAACAAUUCAUUGUCAGCACACCUGCUUUGAAGAAUUGCUAAAGGAAAUUCUUCAGAUAGAAGGGAAAUGAUACAAAAAGAAAAUCUGAAGAAUUUGGAUGGAGAUACAUGGUAAACAAAUAGAUUAUUUUAGUCUUCAGUUCUUUAGACUAUUUUUAAAGGCAAAAACUGUAACAUCGUAUAGAGUUUUCAUUGUAUGUAGAGGUCAUAUAUAAGAAACUAUAAUAUAAAGAGGGAGGAAAAUAUGAAAAAUAUUUUUAUGAAAAUAAGGUGAUAAUUUUGGAUAUUCCUUUUGAAAUGGUAAAAUGUUGACUCUAAGUAUACUGAAAAACUUAUGUACGUAUACCAUAAUCCAUACAGCAAUCGCUUGAAGAACUGUAUAAAAAAAGCAAAAACCCACAGUGAAUUAAAAUAAAACAAGACAUGUUCAAAUCCCAAAGAAGGCAGGAAAAUGGAAAUAGGGUUGAAAAACCAAAGGAACAAAGAGUAACCAGAUAAUAAAAGGUAUACUUGAAUUGCAACAUAGUGAUAUAAAACUUACAUAGUCCAAAUACAAUAAUUUAAAAACAGAUUACCUGAAUUGAUAAAACCCACAAGACUCAGAUGUAUACUGACUAUAAGAAAUUCACUUCAAAUAUAAUAUAGGCAAGUAAAAGAAGGAUAGAAAAAGAGAAAUGAUGCAAACCCUAAUGAAAAGAAAGCUGAAAUUGGUAUAUCAGUAUUAAAAUAGUAAAAAAAUUUACUCAAGAUAAUGAGGGACAUAACAUAAUGACAAAAAAGUCAAUUCAUCAAAAAGAUAACUGUUACGGUUUAUAUCUAGAUGUUCCCCAAAAGCCUCCUGUGUUCACAAGUGGGGUUUCCAGAGGCACCUGGGAUCAUGCAGCUUCCUGUCUGCCAUGCUGUGAGCAACUCUCCUCUGCCCUAACCUUGUGGCCCCCUGUUGUCUUGCCUGGGAGCCAGAUGACUAUGAACUGAAACUACUGAAACUUCUACAAACUGAGCCACAAUAAACCUUUCCUUCAUUAA